UACAGAGGUCCCGAGCGUUGUUCGGAUUCAUUGGGCGUAAAGGGUGCGUAGGCGGCGGGGCAAGUCUGAUGUGAAAUCCCGGGGCUCAACCCCGGAACUGCAUUGGAUACUGCCUUGCUAGAGUACUGGAGAGGGAACUGGAAUUUACGGUGUAGCAGUGAAGUGCGUAGAGAUCGUAAGGAAGGCCAGUGGCGAAGGCGAGUUCCUGGACAGUGACUAACGCUGAGGCACGAAAGCGUGGGGAGCGAACAGG
rnacentral:rRNA from 1 species